AGGACAGCCCUGACAAAAUUGUGAGCGAUGACUUGUAAAAACAGGACCUGAAAGAAACAGGCCUGUGAGAAACAAAGACUGAGAAAACCAGCCUGAGAAAGAGAUAAAGGACAGGGCAGG